GCAAUGAUGAAUAUGUGGUUUUGAUCAGCAAUGAAACCACUCAAACAAUCCUCUAAGAAGUUCUGAGCUC
rnacentral:snoRNA from 1 species